rnacentral:rRNA from 1 species
AGUGAACGCUGGCGGUAGGCCUAACACAUGCAAGUCGAACGGCAGCACAGUAAGAGCUUGCUCUUACGGGAGGCGAGUGGCGGACGGGUGAGGAAUACAUCGGAAUCUACUUUUUCGUGGGGGAUAACGUAGGGAAACUUACGCUAAUACCGCAUACGACCUACGGGUGAAAGCAGGGGAUCUUCGGACCUUGCGCGAUUGAAUGAGCCGAUGUCGGAUUAGCUAGUUGGCGGGGUAAAGGCCCACCAAGGCGACGAUCCGUAGCUGGUCUGAGAGGAUGAUCAGACACACUGGAACUGAGACACGGCACAGACUCCGACGGGAGGCAGCAGUGGGGAAUAUUGGACAAGGGGCGCAAGCCUGAUCCAGCCAUACCGCGUGGGUGAAGAAGGACUUCGGGUGGUAAAGCCCUUUUGUUGGGAAAGAAAAGCAGCAGGUUAAUACCCCGCUGUUCUGACGGUACCCAAAGAAUAAGCACCGGCUAACUUCGUG